AUUGAACGCUGGCGGCAUGCCUUACACAUGCAAGUCGAACGGUAACGGGCCUUCGGGUGCCGACGAGUGGCGAACGGGUGAGUAAUACAUCGGAACGUGCCCGACCGUGGGGGAUAACGAGGCGAAAGCUUUGCUAAUACCGCAUACGAUCUACGGAUGAAAGCAGGGGACCGCAAGGCCUUGCGCGGACGGAGCGGCCGAUGGCAGAUUAGGUAGUUGGUGGGAUAAAAGCUUACCAAGCCGACGAUCUGUAGCUGGUCUGAGAGGAUGAUCAGCCACACUGGGACUGAGACACGGCCCAGACUCCUACGGGAGGCAGCAGUGGGGAAUUUUGGACAAUGGGCGCAAGCCUGAUCCAGCCAUGCCGCGUGCAGGAUGAAGGCCUUCGGGUUGUAAAAUGCUUUUGUACGGAACGAAAAGCCUUCUUUUAAUACAGGAGGGUCAUGACGGUACCGUAAGAAUAAGCACCGGCUAACUACGUG
rnacentral:rRNA from 1 species